AGCCGCCGCGGUAUUCUCAGAGUGCGGUGGCGAACUGGCUGAAGGAGCUGAGGGACUAGAGGCGGGGUGGGAGGAAAAGGGAGGAAUCCCAUCACGGAGCCGCCAGCCUGGACGUUUCCACCUCCUCCGACACUGUCGGGUGGGAUCGGAGAAGGGUCACCGCCUCCUCCUUCGAGAAGGGGGGCGGAGCCCGGCUCAGGAUCAUGGAUUUUCCUGGUCACUUUGAACAGAUCUUCCAGCAGCUGAACUAUCAGAGACUUCAUGGGCAGCUCUGUGACUGUGUCAUUGUAGUGGGGAACAGACAUUUCAAAGCCCACCGCUCGGUACUAGCAGCGUGCAGCACGCAUUUCCGAGCCCUGUUCUCAGUGGCAGAGGGAGAUCAGACCAUGAACAUGAUCCAGCUGGAUAGCGAAGUGGUGACAGCAGAGGCCUUCGCCGCACUGAUUGACAUGAUGUACACCUCCACUCUCAUGCUAGGGGAGAGCAAUGUCAUGGAUGUCUUAUUGGCAGCCUCUCACCUGCACCUGAACUCUGUUGUUAAGGCAUGUAAACAUUACCUGACGACACGGACGCUGCCCAUGUCUCCCCCCAGCGAGCGUGUUCAGGAGCAGAGCGCCCGCAUGCAGCGCUCCUUUAUGCUGCAGCAGCUGGGACUGAGCAUUGUGAGCUCCGCCCUCAGUUCCAGCCAGAGCGGCGAGGAGCAGCCAGCCCCCAUGAGCUCCUCGAUGCGUGGUAACCUGGACCAGCGGACGCCCUUCCCCAUGCGCCGCCUGCACAAGCGCAAGCAGUCUGCAGAGGAGCGGGCCAGACAGCGCCUCCGACCCACCCUGGAUGAGUCUGCCAUCUCCGAUGUGACGCCAGAGAACGGGCCGGGGGUUCAUCCCCGGGAGGAGUUCUUUUCUCCAGAUUCUCUGAAAAUCGUGGACAACCCUAAGGCCGAUGGGAUGGCCGACAACCCAGACGACAACACCAUCAUGUUUGACCAGUCCUUCGGCGCUCAAGAAGAUGCCCAGGUGCCCAGCCAGUCUGACAACAGCGCCAGCAAUAUGGCCCAGCUCUCCAUGGCCUCCCGUGCCACUCAGGUCGAGACUAGUUUUGAGCAGGAAGCCACAGCUGAGAAGAGUGCUUUUCAGUGUGAAAACCCGGAGGUGGGCCUUGGUGAGAAGGAGCACAUGAGAGUGGUGGUGAAAUCUGAGCCCCUGAGCUCUCCUGAGCCUCAGGACGAAGUGAGUGACGUGACCUCCCAAGCGGAAGGCAGCGAGUCGGUGGAGGUGGAGGGGGUGGUGGUCAGUGCCGAGAAGAUAGACCUCAGCCCAGAGAGCAGCGACCGGAGUUUUUCAGAUCCCCAGUCUAGCACUGACCGGGUAGGCGACAUCCACAUUUUGGAAGUCACCAAUAACCUCGAACAUAAAUCCACCUUUAGUAUUUCAAAUUUUCUUAACAAGAGCAGAGGAAGUAACUUUAGUACCAGUCAGAACAAUGACGAUAAUCUCCCAAACACAACCAGUGACUGCAGGCUGGAGGGGGAGGCCCCUUAUUUGUUGAGUCCGGAGGCUGGGCCUGCAAGCGGGCCCUCCUCGGCCCCUGGUGCUCAUGUGGAGAACCCAUUCAGCGAGCCCGCGGACUCCCACUUUGUUAGGCCCAUGCAGGAUGUGAUGGGCCUACCGUGUGUGCAGACCUCAGGCUACCAAGGAGAACAGUUUGGGAUGGAUUUUUCCAGGUCCGGUUUGGGAUUGCACUCCUCCUUUUCCAGGGUAAUGAUGGGUUCCCCUCGAGGAGGAGCCAGUAACUUUCCAUACUACCGCCGCAUAGCUCCCAAAAUGCCAGUGGUAACUUCUGUCAGGAGCUCACAGAUCCCAGAGAAUUCUGCCAGUUCCCAGCUAAUGAUGAAUGCAGCCACGUCCUCAUUUGAAAACGGCCACCCUUCGCAGCCCGGCCCCCCGCAGCUGACAAGGGCAUCUGCUGAUGUCUUGUCGAAGUGCAAGAAGGCCUUAUCGGAGCACAAUGUCUUGGUUGUAGAGGGGGCUCGCAAGUACGCCUGCAAAAUCUGCUGCAAGACUUUCUUGACCUUGACAGAUUGCAAGAAGCACAUCCGUGUUCACACAGGUGAAAAACCCUAUGCCUGCCUGAAGUGCGGCAAGAGGUUCAGUCAGUCCAGCCACCUGUACAAACACUCGAAGACCACCUGCCUGCGCUGGCAGAGCAGCAACCUCCCCAGCACUUUGCUCUAGCCUGACCUCGAGAUAACGCCGAUGCCAGUUGUAGAACCGGAACUAAAAUCUCUGAUUUCGGGGGCCGGUCCAGCCUGACACAUCUCACCCAACGACAAGCCCGUUUUCUGCUUCGCUUCUUCACACUUUCAUGCCACUUACAGCAUCUUUCCUGGGCCUAGAUUACUGUUUUCAGGUAAACAAAAGUGAAGUCAACCCCGCUCCAUCGUGGGCUUUAUUACUGUUCUAUGGUUUUAAAGUACAGACCCUGAGCUUCUGUUGUUGCCCCAACCUAAUACUGAAGGUUGGUAAAUAUUUUCCCAUCUCUAUAAGAGGAUUGGGCAGCCCAGAGCAUAGAAGCCACCAGGGUAGCAUCUGAGACAGUCUGAGGAGACCUCUGGGUGACUGACCUGGCCUUCUCUGGGCUGACCCUGUGGCCUUCCAACCCUUUGGGCAGCAUCUGUUAGGCUGAGCCUUGGCUUGAGAGCUUCCAGGAGAACAGCACAGGUUAAUGUGUCUCUGUAGAGCUCACGAAGUCAGCUUAAUUCAUACAUGAACAUGAUUUCAUUUUUUUAUACAGUUUAUUUGAGACACCCCAAACCACUGUGCAUCAUUGAGCAAAAUCCUUCAGUUCUUAUGUUUUGAGAAGUAGUCAGCAUGUGUCUUCUCUUAAUCUAGCAUAUGCAGUUACACGUCUGUCUGUGGAUAAACUCAUAAUGCUCACUGUCAGAUUUAGCAUCUCCUAUGAACUGAUUCCCCAGGGAGGAAAACCAAAAGGGAAGCCUCUGGUCCGUCUCCUAAAAGGGGAGGG